rnacentral:rRNA from 1 species
UACGUAGGGGGCAAGCGUUGUCCGGAAUUAUUGGGCGUAAAGAGCGCGUAGGCGGUCCGAUAAGUCGGCUGUGAAAGUCAGGGGCUCAACCCUUGGAAGCCGGCCGAUACUGUCGGACUAGAGUCCGGAAGAGGCGAGUGGAAUUCCAGGUGUAGCGGUGAAAUGCGUAGAUAUCUGGAGGAACACCGGUGGCGAAGGCGGCAUCCUGGACCGGUAUUGACGCUGAGGCGCGAAAGCUAGGGGAGCAAACGGG